GGCAGAGACCAGGGUGUCGUCAUGACAGUAACCUGUCAUCGCGCUACCGUCUUGGGAGUCAUCAUGAAAGUGACAUGGAUGCCAGUACUAGACUGUUUCGCACAUAGGCUGAGCUGGAACGCGAGUACGCCGAAGAUGUCUUGCGAUACAGCACCUCAGAGUUUUUCGUUUAGCAUGUCAGAGGCGAAAUUAUACUAUUUCAGUGCCGGAUAGCCUUGAGAAAAUAUAUCAUUGUUAGAUAGUUAUCACUCGGGGCACUGAGACAUGCGACAUGGAGAAACAGGCCGACGCCCUCUAGUCUCGCUUAUUAGGCUACUUACUCUGUAUCUUAGUGGGUUGUGAACUGGACAUUUACACUAUUUAUAUACCCGUACCUUAACUCCACCUCGUAGCGUCUUAUCUGUGGAUUAUUUUUUGCAUAUUGUGGUGAAAUUCUCUUUUAUUUUUUUUGCCGUACCCAUAUUACAAGCCUGUAUUAUUGUUUCUUGGCAACAUUAUGUCGUGGCGUAUUUUAUGAUUAACAUUCCAGUCGUGCUUUUAAAUAUUUUGGUAAACAGUAUAAUAUAGUUUAUGUACAUGAUAAAAUUUUGGGUAUAACCAUUUUUUUUUCAAAUCUUAAUAAAAUUGGGAUGGCACUUACCCCAAAAUCCAAA